GAUGAACGCUGGCGGCGUGCCUAAUACAUGCAAGUCGAGCGAAUGGAUUGAGAGCUUGCUCUUAUGAAGUUAGCGGCGGACGGGUGAGUAACACGUGGGUAACCUGCCCAUAAGACUGGGAUAACUCCGGGAAACCGGGACUAAUACCGGAUAACAUUUUGAACCGCAUGGUUCGAAAUUGAAAGGCGGCUUCGGCUGUCACUUAUGGAUGGACCCGCGCCGCAUUAGCUAGUUGGUGAGGUAACGGCUCACCAAGGCAACGAUGCGUAGCCGACCUGAGAGGGUGAGCGGCCACACUGGGACUGAGACACGGCCCAGACUCCUACGGGAGGCAGCAGUAGGGAAUCUUCCGCAAUGGACGAAAGUCUGACGGAGCAACGCCGCGUGAGUGAUGAAGGCUUUCGGGUCGUAAAACUCUAUUGUUAGGGAAGAACAAGUGCUAGUUGAAUAAGCUGGCACCUUGACGGUACCUAACCAGAAAGCCACGGCUAACUACGUGCCAGCCGCCGCGGUAA
rnacentral:rRNA from 1 species